ACUCAAAUCAGUAAUGUACAAGGAGGGAUGAGCACUUUACCUAUUUGAUCAAAUAAUUAGAGUUUUAAAAACCCUUUGGCUCAUUCUUUCUUUUGAUAUUAUUUGUAGAUUAUUCUUCUCUGAAAAUGUUAUUUGCAACACCUGCCACUACUCAAAUCAGUCGUGUGAAUGACCCCCAGGAAAAUUCUGUUAGUCUUGCCCUGCCUGAUGAAGAUGAGAAUGCAACACCAAAUGCAACAUUUUCGCUGAAUGCGUUAUUUACAACACCUGCCACAACCCGAGUCAGAUAUGUAGAAGAUCAUCAGGAAGAAGAUCACACAGAAAGUAAUGCAACACAAAAUUCAGACCUGUCUCUGAAAGCCUUUUUUGCAACACCUGUCAUAACUCGAGUCAAUCAUGUUGAAGACAAUCAACAGAGUAUAGAUGACACCAUUACAACACAAGGUCCAAUUUCAUCUAUCAAAGUGUCAAUGAAUACACCUGCUACAACUCAAAUCAGUCAUGGCAAACAUCUUUAGGAGAAUACAAUCAAAUUUGCCUUUCCUGACGAUCUUCAGGAGAAAACAGUCGAAUAUGCCCUUCCCAUUGAAGAUGACACGGAAGGCAAUGCACCACAAAAUCCAGAUUUGUCUGUGAAAACAUUUGCAACACCAGCCACAACUUGGGCCAGUCAUGUAGAAAACUAUUAGCAGAAUACAGUAAAAUUUACCCUUCCUUCUGAAGAUGACACAAAAGGCAAUGCAACACUAAGUCAAGAAUCAUCUCUGAAAUUGUCAUCUGCAACACCUGCAACAACACAAAAUCAAGAUUUGUCUAUGAGAACGUUGUUUGCAACACAAUCCAUAACUCGAGUCAGCCAUGUAAAAGAACAUGAGCAGAGUACAGUCAGAUUUGAUCUUCCCAUAGAAGGUAGUGCAAGUUCCUCACCUAUUAGUUCGAUUUUAAAAGACUUCGGGUUCCUAAUUUCAUAUGU